GCGGGAAUAGCUCAGUUGGUAGAGCAUCAGCCUUCCAAGCUGAGGGUCGCGGGUUCGAACCCCGUUUCCCGCUCCA
rnacentral:tRNA from 3 species